rnacentral:rRNA from 1 species
UACGUAGGGCGCAAGCGUUGUCCGGAAUUAUUGGGCGUAAAGAGCUCGUAGGCGGCCUGUUGCGUCCGCUGUGAAAUCCCGGGGCUCAACCCCGGGCCUGCAGUGGAUACGGGCUGGCUAGAGGCAGGCAGGGGGAGAACGGAAUUCCUGGUGUAGCGGUGAAAUGCGCAGAUAUCAGGAGGAACACCGGUGGCGAAGGCGGGUCUCUGGGCCGAUACUGACGCUGAGGAGCGAAAGCGUGGGGAGCGAACAGG